rnacentral:lncRNA from 1 species
CUACACUUCUUAAAAAUAAUAAAUGAGAUAAUUAACUAAUUAUCUUUACAAAAAUCAUAAAAAUAUUCAUUCAAACUUUGCAGCGGAUUGAAUUCAUUAACAUAGAUAAGUCUUUGGCACGCAGGCCUUAUUAAAAACAUAAACAAUACGUAAAGGAAUAAAAAAUAGCCACAAAAGAUCACAUCCCGUUACGUAUCAGAGCAUCCUAAGACUCAGUGAGAAAUAAGUCACUCACGACAGCAACAGCAGCAACCUACUAACGAUCACCUGCAAGUUACUCAUACGAAGAGCAACAUUUCCAAGCAGAAGGGGUGAGAUUUUACAAAACAAUAAUAUUAAACAUAUAAUUCAACAAUUAUAUUUAAUCAACAUCAAAUCAUCUUAACAUUCAUUAUAGAUAAUAAUAUAUCAUUUAACACUUCAUUCAUAGUUUGUAUAAACAAUUACAACUUCACAGCUUAUCAACAUAAACAUCUUUGACUCGACAAAUGC